rnacentral:rRNA from 1 species
GGCAUAGCCGGGUAGCCAAGUUCGGCAUGGAUAACCGCUGAAAGCAUAUAAGCGGGAAGCCAUUCCCAAGAUAAGAUAUCCCUAAAGGCCCCUCGAAGACUACGAGGUUGAUAGGCCGGAGGUAGAAGCGCCGCGAGGCGUGGAGCUGACCGGUACUAAUAGGCCGUUUGGCUUGACUUUAAU